GGUAAGAAACGAGUCAACUAAUAGACUGUAUAGUUCUGUUGUCGUGGAUCAAGAAAAGGCAAUGGAGACCCUUCAAAUCCUAUCAAUUUUAUAAUAUAUAUCUAAUAUAUAUAUUCUACCUAAACACAAUAUUUAGCAAAUUAAUCUUAAGGAAAAAACAGACAAGCAAGACUAAUUGUUAAUCAAUGAAACAACACAUAAUUGCUUACAAAAUAAUGAGGUACGUGUUAUUUAAUGUUUGCUGGCGCAACUGUUAAAUGCAACGUUGUAUUAAGCUAACAUUGGCGUGGUAAUCAUUCGUUCAUUAUGUCAUAUUAGUUGGCUAAUAUUGGUUCAAACUUUAUUAAGUCAGAAGCCCAAAAUGUUGAUAUACAGCCAAAUGUAGUUCAGACUUAUGGAUCCAUUAUUUACUAUUAUAAUAGGUGGUGUUCAAAUUGCAUCACUCGGUAUCUUGGGAUAUUUUGAAUGUCAAUCCAAUCCACUGCAAUCUGCAACAGAGGUCCGUGUACCGUGAGAACAGAUAAUUAGAACAAACUGCUUACUAUUUCAUAAUAUAUUUGGUUAAAUUGCUAAAACUUCUGGUAUCAUCAUCAUCAUCAGCCUGUUCUCGUCCACUGCUGGACAUAGGCCUCUCCAAUGGCACAUUUGAUACAUUUGCUUAAAUUACUAAAAUCUCUGGUAAAUUCAUCAUUAUUCACUCAACCAUUUUAUCGAGCUUAGUUUCAUUGACAGUAAGUAAAUUAAAAUAAACAAAGUAAUUUCAUUAAAAAGUACAGGGUCCUUAGACAAAGUAACAUCGCUUGGUAGCGAAACGAUAUCUAAAAUCGUCAUCGUCUCAACGAUAACGACAAACAUUUCUUAGCCAAAGUAACAUCGCGAUCGUUAUCGUUGUGUCGAAUCGAUAAUUCGCUAAAAAGCAAAAAUAUUGUUUAUGGUAACGAAAAUUUAGCUGUCAGUGUCACUCAAGAAGUUCAAAUCGGAUUAUUCCCGCGAGUUAUUACUGUUUUCGAAUUUUACUGAUAAGAAUAAGUGAGUUGUUGGCGAUCGCCGUACUUCGUGAGGGUGAUGUUAUCACAGUCAGCGACGUUGGAGUGCUGGGUGACGUCACGGGAUUGGCACGGUGGUCGCCGCGCCGGUGGGCUUCAAGUGGUUGUGCUGCAAUGUCCUUAGCCCAGACGUAAAUAUCCGAAAAAUGCUGGGCUCAAGUGCUUCCCAAGAGAAAUAUGACUUUAUUAGUUCAAUUUCGAACUAGCCCUCGCAUAAGACAGUCCACGUUAUUUCUAUGAUAGUGAUGAAACAUGGAAUCAAGAGUGCGAACAAGUUCCCAACAAUUGUCAAUGCUGCUUGAGGAUAUGGCAAAUCAUGGUGACCCGGCGAGGCCUCUUGCUGCAUCAUUAGGUUGAGUACGGUCAGACCGACUGUGGACUGAACUGACAAACAUAUUGAAUGCUGUUGGUGGUGGUGGCAGCAAGACUACAGACAAGUGAUAAAAAGCGUGGUCCGCGGUUGAGAUCGCCAGCGACACCGCAGUCUGCUGUUUCUCCCGACCGCCCUCAUUUGAGCGACCCCCUUCGAGACAGCGGCAAGCGAGUAGCUAAAAAGCUAAGAGCACACAGCACCUGAAAAUUAUAAUAAUACAGAUUUAGAUUAUGUGGUUUUAUUUUUACUUACCUCUACAGCAGUUAAUAAAGUAUU